CAAUUAACAACCAACCAAUAUUCACCUAAAUCAACAACAAUCUUUAUGAACUAACGAACGAGUUUUCACCAACACUACCAACCUUAUAAAUAAGAUAAUACUAAGCCCAUCUAAAAAAAUACAGAAAGAAAGUGCAAUACUAGUAACUAGUCCAAUUUAACAAAUGAAUACUCGUGACACUAAUAAAAACAACUAUAGAGCGACUCUAAGAGUUCAAAAGAAAAGACAAUAACAAUAAAUAAACUCUUCGCCCACGCGAACCAGUGCGGGGCUCACCAGGAACUAUCAACUCGUGUACUCUAAUUAACGAAAUCCUCGCUCGCGUCAACUGCUUUCUCUGUAUAAAAAAAAAUAGCGGGGAAUGAGUCGCUAGCUCAGUGAGAAAUAACACUUAACCACAAAUGUUUUUGAUUGGGGACAAGUCAGAAAUACAUGCUUGUAUAAUAAAAUUCAGAAAUUAUCACAAAAAUAAAAUGCCCUUUCAAAACGGUAAGAAUAAUCAGUCUCAUCAUGUGUUUCCUGUAACAGAAUUCAAUUUAACAAUUUGGUAAUAAACUCAGUAAGCACUAUAUCAUAUCAAUUCUUUAUGUCUCGGAGGUUUCCAAGAAAGGAUCAUGUAAUCUGUAUCACUGUGUGGACCCUUUUGUAAAAGGAGUCAAAUAUAACGGUAGGUUCCUACUCGAGAGAAAACUGUAAAUGUAUGCUAGUUCUACCUUCCCACUAGAGAGGGCUAUAACCGUAAUCGGUAAUCUGUAACUAUAAGGUGCACCAGGUCUAACGAACCCGCCAUUGGCUACGGGAUCCUUCAAAGUCUCCUCCCAUUAAUACUCUUUCUUGUAAAUAGUAAAUACUCGUAUAAAAGCAUUUUCAAAAUAAUAAAGGGCAUUCCUUAUCAAAUCUUGUAAUUUUAUUUCGGUAACAGUCAUCAUGUCUCAAGUAACAGUAAAACAUGUCUAGUAAUAGUGAGAAUAAUUCAAAUAACUGUAACAUCUCAAGUAACGGUAAAACAUAUCUAGUAACGGUGAAAAUAUUUAGAUUAUUCGGUAAACAUCUCAAGUAAACUGUUCGAUAUCAUAUCAAGUAAAGGACUUGUCCCACAUGCAAUUUUAAAGCAUCGGUAAUACGUUUAUUUUCAACAUCAUAUAUAAACCAUGCAAGUUAUCAAAACACAAAUUGUGAUAAAAUUACUACUCACAGUACUCACUUCGAAAUACCAAGCGUGCCAACUCGUGCAGUCCAUACGACUUCCUCGAUCAAUCUAUAUUAUCACAAACACGAGUCUAAGUGUCAACUUCGCGAAGUACCAAAUUCCUCGUGGUUCCAUUCGUAAUAAGCUUAGUUAGGCUACCUGUGAAAUUAUCAAAUACUUCUUUGUAAUUCUUUCUUCCUAGUUCAUGAAACGUUCAUCAAUUAAUCAUUUUUAUGAUAAUAAAAUAAUUCAUGUUUAAUGAUAUUCAUUAUAAUUAAAUACCAACAUUAAUCCUAGUAUCACAAUUUGACUCAAGUCAAUGAUUAUCUAUAUAAUAUUACUAGUUAUAAGUAAAAUUAAGAAUACAAUGUUACCUCUUUCUUUUAUUCACUGUGUGAAUUUUGUUUCUGCGUAUACCUACACUGAAUCAAGAUGAAAUUCCUCUUCUUGUUCCCUUGUAAAACUUUAUGCCAGAAGACUUCAUUCCCUCUUUAAUUUCCUUGUAAUGCUUUCUGCAUAUGAUGGUAAAUAUUUCUUUUGCAGAGGCUUCGUGGCUCCUUCUAGGUUUUCGUUGUUUCAGA
rnacentral:lncRNA from 1 species